UACGGGGGGAGCAAGCGUUGUUCGGAUUUACUGGGCGUAAAGGGCGCGUAGGCGGUCAGCACAAGUCAGUUGUGAAAUCUCCGGGCUUAACUCGGAAAGGUCAACUGAUACUGUGCGACUAGAGUGCAGAAGGGGCAACUGGAAUUCUCGGUGUAGCGGUGAAAUGCGUAGAUAUCGAGAGGAACACCUGCGGCGAAGGCGGGUUGCUGGGCUGACACUGACGCUGAUGCGCGAAAGCCAGGGGAGGCGAACGGG
rnacentral:rRNA from 1 species